rnacentral:rRNA from 1 species
UACGGGGGGGGUAAGCGUUGUUCGGAAUUACUGGGUGUAAAGGGCUCGUAGGCGGCCAACUAAGUCAUACGUGAAAUCCCUCAGCUUAACUGGGGAACUGCGUGUGAUACUGGAUGGCUUGGAUUUGGGAGAGGGAUGCGGAAUUCCAGGUGUAGCGGUGAAAUGCGUAGAUAUCUGGAGGAACACCGGUGGCGAAGGCGGCAUCCUGGACCAAUAUUGACGCUGAGGAGCGAAAGCCAGGGGAGCAAACGGG